rnacentral:ncRNA from 1 species
CAAAAGUUUGGUCCUGGCUUUCUUAUCUGCUGUAACUAGACAUACACAUGCAAGUAUCCGCACCCCUGUGAGAACGCCCGAACAGACCUCUGCCCGAGAUCAAGGAGCCGGCAUCAGGCACCCCCUUAUGGAGCCCAUGACGCCUAGCUUAGCCACACCCCCAAGGGAAUGCAGCAGUGAUAAACAUUAAGCAAUAAGCGAAAGCUUGACUUAGUUAUAGUUAUACAUAGGGCUGGUCAAGACCCGUGCCAGCCACCGCGGUUAGACGGGAAGCCCAAGUAGAUAAGUUACGGCGUAAAGUGUGGUUAAGGAAAUAUACUAAAAUAAAGCGGAACACCCUCCAGGCUGUUAUACGUUACUGAGGUUAAAUAAACACAUCUACGAAAGUGGCUUUAAUACUCCCCAUCCACGAAAGCUUUGGCACAAACUGGGAUUAGAUACCCCACUAUGCUUAGCCUUAAACCUUGAUGACGACUCACAAAAUGUCAUCCGCCCGGGUACUACGAGCGCAAGCUUAAAACCCAAAGGACUUGGCGGUGCUUUAUACCCCUCUAGAGGAGCCUGUCCAAGAACCGAUAAUCCUCGUUAAACCUCACCUCUCCUUGCAACGUGACCCAGUCUAUAUACCGCCGUCGUAAGCCCACCCUGUGAAGGACUAGUAGUGGGCUCAACCAGCAUUGCUUCAAACGUCAGGUCGAGGUGUAGCCUAUGGAGAGGGAUGAGAUGGGCUACAUUCGCUAGCUAUAGCGCAUAACGGAUGGCAUUCCUGAAAUAAAUGCCUGAAGGUGGAUUUAGUAGUAAGCUGAGAAAUAGUGUGUCCAGCUGAAAGAGGCUCUGAAGCGCGUACAUACCGCCCGUCACUCUCCCCGAAAAUGAAAAUAAAACCUUACAUAAAACAUUAUCGAAUAUAGAGGGGAGGCAAGUCGUAACAUGGUAAGUGUACCGGAAGGUGUACUUGGCGAAAUAUA